rnacentral:rRNA from 1 species
UACGUAGGGUGCGAGCGUUAAUCGGAAUUACUGGGCGUAAAGCGUGCGCAGGCGGCUUUGCAAGACAGAUGUGAAAUCCCCGGGCUUAACCUGGGAACUGCAUUUGUGACUGCAUGGCUAGAGUGCGGCAGAGGGGGAUGGAAUUCCGCGUGUAGCAGUGAAAUGCGUAGAUAUGCGGAGGAACACCAGUGGCGAAGGCGGCUUCCUGGACCAGCACUGACGCUGAUGCGCGAAAGCUAGGGGAGCAAACAGG